rnacentral:rRNA from 1 species
AAGCGAAAGUGACGGUACUUGCAGAAGAAGCACCGNCUNNNNAUGUGCCAGCAGCCGCGGUAAUACAUAGGGUGCAAGCGUUGUCCGGAAUUAUUGGGCGUAAAGAGCUCGUAGGUGGUUCGUCACGUCGGAUGUGAAAAUCUGGGGCUUAACCCCAGACCUGCAUUCGAUACGGGCGAGCUAGAGUGUGGUAGGGGAGACUGGAAUUCCUGGUGUAGCGGUGGAAUGCGCAGAUAUCAGGAGGAACACCAAUGGCGAAGGCAGGUCUCUGGGCCAUUACUGACACUGAGGAGCGAAAGCGUGGGGAGCGAACAGGAUUAGAUACCCUGGUAGUCCACGCCGUAAACGGUGGGCACUAGUUGUGGGAACCUUCCACGGUUNNUGCGACGCAGCUAACGCAUUAAGUGCCCCGCCUGGGGAGUACGAUCGCAAGAUUAAAACUCAAAGGAAUUGACGGGGCCCCGCACAAGCAGCGGAGCAUGCGGCUUAAUUCGACGCAACGCGAAGAACCUUACCAAGGCUUGACAUAUACAGGAAUAUGGCAGAAAUUCCAUAGCCGCAAGGUCUGUAUACAGGUGGUGCAUGGUUGUCGUCAGCUCGUGUCGUGAGAUGUUGGGUUAAGUCCCGCAACGAGCGCAACCCUCGUUCUGUGUUGCCAGCAUUUAGUUGGGGACUCACAGGAGACUGCCGGGGUUAACUCGGAGGAAGGU